GACGAACGCUGGCGGCGUGCUUAACACAUGCAAGUCGAACGCUGAAGCUCAGCUUUUGUUGGGUGGAUGAGUGGCGAACGGGUGAGUAACACGUGAGUAACCUGCCUCCUUCUUUGGGAUAACGCCCGGAAACGGGUGCUAAUACUGGAUAUUCACUGGUCUUCGCAUGGGGGUUGGUGGAAAGGGUUUUUCUGGUGGGGGAUGGGCUCGCGGCCUAUCAGCUUGUUGGUGGGGUGAUGGCCUACCAAGGCUUUGACGGGUAGCCGGCCUGAGAGGGUGACCGGCCACAUUGGGACUGAGAUACGGCCCAGACUCCUACGGGAGGCAGCAGUGGGGAAUAUUGCACAAUGGGCGCAAGCCUGAUGCAGCGACGCCGCGUGAGGGAUGGAGGCCUUCGGGUUGUGAACCUCUUUCGCUCAUGGUCAAGCCGCAACAAUGGUUGUGGUGAGGGUAGUGGGUAAAGAAGCGCCGGCUAACUACGUG
rnacentral:rRNA from 1 species